AUUAUCACAUCAUCACCACUAUCACCUUCACCACCACCAUCAUCAUCACCAUUGUCACUACCAUCAUCAUCAUCACUAUCAUCAUUGCCAUCAGCAUCAUUAUCAUCACUACUGUCAUUGCUAUCAGCAUCAUUAUUAUCAUCAUCACUAUCGUCAUCACCAUCAUCACCAUCAUCCCCACCAUCACCACCACAUCAUCACCAUCAUCACCACCAUCACAUCAUCACCAUCAUCAUCACCAUCACAUCACCAUCAUCAUCACCAUCACAUCACCAUCACCAUCAUCAACAUCACAUCAUCACCACCAUCACCACCAUCACCAUCAUCACCAUCACAUCACCAUCAUCACCAUUCUCACCAUCACCAUUGUCACCAGCAGGAGCAGCAGGGACCAGAGCAGCAUCAGUGACAACUGUAGUAGCAAUGGCAGUGGUGAGUUAACUCAGCUGCAACAGGGAUCCAAACGAAGAAAGGGUGGGCAAUCUUGCUUCUGACCUCUGUCAUUUUCUAUUUGGGCUGCAACCCAAAGGUGCUGUCCACACUUGGGGUGGGCCUUCCCCCAUCGAUUAAGGCAAUUAAGAUGGUUCUUUAGUGGAGGGAGGCCCCCUGCUUGGCUGGUUCUAAUUUGUGUGAAGUCCAGUUACCACAGUGCUUAGAUAGUGUUGAAGAGAUGACAGAAAAUUAACGUAUUUGUAUAUUUUUAAAACACGGAGUCCAAAGUCUCAAGUUUAGGUUUUAUUAGAAAGGGAAACUACAGAAGAAAAAGGCAUUGCUUCACAAUCUACAACUCUAACUUCAUAUCUCAGCCAAUGUCUUGGUUAGGGUCACCAUUGCUGUGGGAAGGAGAGGGUUUAUUCAGCUUACACUUCCACCUUGUAGUUCAUUAUCGAAGGAAGUCGGGACAGAUGCCCAAACUGGGCAGGAAGCUGGAGGCAGGAGCUUUAGCUGUGUCAAGCUGACAUAAAGCUGUCCAGCACAGAAAAUAUGGAGGUCAAAGGUGACAGAUCACAACUGUAGUCGCAGCACUUGGGAGGCUGAGGCAGGAGGAGGCCAGCCUGGACUACAG
rnacentral:lncRNA from 1 species